AGACCCGAAACCCGGUGAUCUAGCCAUGGGCAGGUUGAAGGUUGGGUAACACUAACUGGAGGACCGAACCGACUAAUGUUGAAAAAUUAGCGGAUGACCUGUGGCUGGGGGUGAAAGGCCAAUCAAACCGGGAGAUAGCUGGUUCUCCCCGAAAGCUAUUUAGGUAGCGCCUCGUGAAUUCAUCUCCGGGGGUAGAGCACUGUUUCGGCUAGGGGGCCAUCCCGGCUUACCAACCCGAUGCAAACUGCGAAUACCGGAGAAUGUUAUCACGGGAGACACACGGCGGGUGCUAACGUCCGUCGUGAAGAGGGAAACAACCCAGACCGCCAGCUAAGGUCCCAAAGUCAUGGUUAAGUGGGAAACGAUGUGGGAAGGCCCAGACAGCCAGGAUGUUGGCUUAGAAGCAGCCAUCAUUUAAAGAAAGCGUAAUAGCUCACUGGUCGAGUCGGCCUGCGCGGAAGAUGUAACGGGGCUAAACCAUGCACCGAAGCUGCGGCAGCGAACGUAUCACUUAAAGCGAUUC
rnacentral:rRNA from 3 species